UAGCAACAGGUUCAACCAGUCUCUGGGAAGAGUUCUGCAAGUGUAUUUAGACAUGAUCCUGUGGCUGGAACUAGAAGAAUUCCAAAGAUAAAUUUGCUUCCUCCUAGACAACUUCAUCUGCAACUCGUGGAAAUCAAAUGCAGAAUUACAUACACCAAAUCAUGGGAACUUCAGGAAAGAAAAAUAAGAGAACAGACACUUAUUUUCCUUCAUGAACAGAAGAAACUAGAUAAUCAGGUGAAGCUGUGGUUCUGCUAUUGUGAUGUAUAGUCAACUCACUCUGUUUUUCGAAACUUGUAUAAAAUGGGAACAGUAGUACCCGCCAUGUAUCUCUCCAAGUGCAGUGUGACAUUUGUUAAAAAUUCAGAAUCUCAGGCCUACCCCUUACCUAUAGAAUAAGAAUCUGUAUCUUAACAAGAUCCCUAAUUAAUUCACAUGUAUACUAAAUUUUGACAAACAGUGAAGUUAGAAAAUGCUAUGCAACUAUUUUGAGAAGGCAAAUUACUCAUGAGACUAAGAAAAACAAUUAUUCCUUAAAAUUUCAAAGAAAUAUAUACACACGUGUUUACAUACACUAGAUAAUUUCUAUUAUUGACUAAAGGAAAAUACUGUUAUUAUUUAGAUUAUUGUUAGACGUUCAUUUUAACACUAGAAGAGUUCAAGAAUAAUGGCAGAAAGGAAUGUGACAUUUCCAGAGGAAAGCACCUAUUGAAACUCACAUAAAAGAAGACAAGAGGAAUGAAGCUGUCAGGUUCAAAUCAGUUUAAUCAUGGACCAUCCUGAAGUGAAUCUUGGAAAAUAUUGUAUCAUAGUGCUUAUUCUUUGUGCACUCGGUUAAAAAAAAAAAUGAAGGGAAAAUACUUCUUUCCCUUUUGGAGAAGAAAGUAUAGCCAAGGCAGAGAAUGCAAAGCAGAAAGCUGGGAAGUAAAUAACAGGGAAGACUUGAGACAAGAAAUGAGUCUGAAAGGGAAAGAAUAAUUUAGAAAUUAUAUGUGGUGUCUCCUGUGGAUGUUCCAGACAUCAAAAAGGAGAAUAUAAUGUAAUUUUAGGGCUUGAUAUUCCUGAACAGUCAGAAUAGGCAGAAACUGCUGUCAACAAUUUAGCAGGGAUAAUAUGUCAAGGACAAAAUCCACACCCACCACCUUCUACUCAACCAAAUUG
rnacentral:lncRNA from 1 species